rfam:Schistosoma mansoni strain Puerto Rico chromosome 5, complete genome
AUCCAGCUGACGAGUACGAAAUAGGACGGAACGCGCGUCCUGGAU